UUUACUAUUUUGCACUUUUGUCUACAGUUUAUUUUUUAUAUUCAAGACACAAUUAACAUAUUUGAAUAAUAAAUAUUAAGAUUUUUCCUCAAUAAUAUUAAUAUAAUGUUUCAAAAUAAAUUCUCAAUUAAGUCCACUAUUUCAGUAAAAAAAGCUGAACGAGAGAAAUUAAAAGUUCAAAUGUUGGAAACUUUUGAUUUGACAGAAAAUAUGCUGGAGUCGUUUUUGAGCAAGAAGUUAACUCAAAUGAAAAUAAUUACACAUAACAAUAAUGUUGUCAAAUUGUAUUGUGCCCAAGACAUUGCUAUUGUAUUUGAAUCUAAAGGGAAAUUGUAUCCUACAGUGUUUAUGGUUUUGAUAUAUUCUCAGAUUGUCCCUAGAUUAAAAAUAAAUGAAAAUACUAAACCCAAUUUUCAUGAUUCUGUUGAAAUUAAGUAUAGUAAUAUAUUUUGUGAAGAAAAUAAUGAACUUUUGACAUUGUUGUCUAUUGAUCAGUGUGUUAGUGUUUAUUCUACCUUAAGUAAAAAAAUUUUUGGUGUAGGUCACAAGAAUGUGAAUAAAAGUGAACAAAACGAGAACGAUAAAUAUACAAUUAAUGUAUUACAUUAUUAUGAUGAUGAGCUUUUCAAACAAUUUGCCGUUUCGGAAAAAACUCGUGCACAGUCAAAGCGAUGAGAAAAGAAAUUAAUAAAACUUUAAAACUAAAUAAAAACUUAGAAAAUCUUUCUGAAAGCAGUAAUGAAGUUUCUGUCGAAAAAAUGGACCAAAUUGUUUUGACUUGUUUUUUAAAAGCAAUAAUACAAUUUAUCAAAGAGGAUACAUUGCCACUUCUAGCUAUUGAAUUUUAUAAAAAAAAUGUAAUUCCAUUUGACCCGGAAGGUAUAAAAAUAGAUAUUAAGAAGACCUCUUAUAAAAAACUAUCUAAUUUUCUUCAAUCGCUUGAAGAACAAGGUUUUAUAAAAUGCACAGAAGAUUUAGGUGAGAUUCCUUUAAUAAUAUAUGUCAAUUACAACUUAAUACUUAAAGAAAUAGACUUGCAGCAUAGAGAAAUUAAUGAUUUGCUAGCAGACAAAGAAACCACUAAUGAGGACAAUUUGUGUUUUCUUCCUAAUCAAAACGAAAUAAGAAUAUGUUCAAUUUCAGACAUGGAAAUAGCAUACGAUAACGACACUACAAUAGAUAUUACAUUUUAUUUUACGAAGAACGAUAAAAAGAUUACAUUAGUAAGCAAUUUAGAAGUGUAUGGUGUGAAUAUUGUAAAGUUUAAAAAAAAAUGUCAGCACGGUGUUGCUGCAAGUACAACAAUUAAUAAUUUUCCAAGUACAGAAAAUCGACAAGUCCAAAUACAAGGGUGUCAUGUAAUGUUUGUUUUUAAAUUAU